rnacentral:lncRNA from 1 species
GGAUACUCCGCUGCACCACCAGCCGUACGGCACUGUGUGGAGACUGUCUGACUGUCGUCUCGGAAAGCAUUGCUGGGGUAUUUUUACUGGAUGCAGGCGGAGGGACUGAUCUUGGAAGGAAACUUCAUGUGAAGUCCCCAGCCCGUUUGCAGAUUCAUGUGCUGGUCAAUUUCUGGAUGAGAUUUCAGCUUUCUCAGGGGAGCUGCAGGAAGUGGGAAGAUCCCUGAAAUCUCUCCUAAGCUGUCUCAGAACAGGGACUGGACCAGCCCAAAGGCCCCCGGAGUUGUGGCUCACCAGCAUAGUUUGGGAAUGGAGCAUCCCCCAUCUGCCACAGCAGUGCUGUGGGGUGGAGCAGGUAAGCACCACCUGAUUGUGACAUGCGACAGGCUAGAUACCCUGGGGCACCAGCAAUAUUAAGCCAACACCACUUCUCAGUGCUCUGCUU